GGUUCUGUGGCUAAGUUGGUUAAAGCACCGAUCUAGCAAAUUUUGAGUCGUGUGUUCAAAUCCUACUAGAACAU
rnacentral:tRNA from 1 species